rnacentral:misc_RNA from 1 species
AACAUCGCGCACCUGCGGGAACCUGCGGAAGGAUCAUUACGAGAGUGUCACCACUCCCAACCCAUUGUUUACCUACCCGUCCACCGUGCUUCGGCAGGCAGCCCUGUGGGACAGAGCCUCGCCCCCUUUCGCGGGGGGUGCCUGCCGCUUGCCAACCAAAACUCUAGCUGUUUUAGUACCAUCUGAGUCUUCCACAAAUGAACAAAACUUUUAACAACGGAUCUCAGAUCGGAAGAGCAC